UGGAAAUUGAUCGGAUGCUCCAUCGGCU
rnacentral:piRNA from 1 species